rnacentral:rRNA from 1 species
CCGGCGCACGGGUGAGUAACACGUAUGCAACCUGCCUGCCACAGCCGGAUAAUCGGGAGAAAUUCCGUCUAAUACGGCAUAAUGCAUCGACGGGACAUCCUGUUGGUGCCAAAGGUUAAUUCCGGUGGCGGAUGGGCAUGCGUCGCAUUAGUUAGUUGGCGGUGUAACGGACCACCAAGACGACGGUGCGUAGGGGUUCUGAGAGGAAGGUCCCCCACACUGGUACUGAGACACGGACCAGACUCCUACGGAAGGCAGCAG